UACGUAGGGUCCGAGCGUUGUCCGGAAUUACUGGGCGUAAAGAGCUCGUAGGUGGUUUGUCGCGUUGUUCGUGAAAACUCACAGCUUAACUGUGGGCGUGCGGGCGGAUACGGGGCAGACUGGAGUACUGCAGGGGAGACUGGAAUUCCUGGUGUAGCGGUGGAAUGCGCAGAUAUCAGGAGGAACACCGGUGGCGAAGGCGGCAUCCUGGACCGGCAUUGAC
rnacentral:rRNA from 1 species